UGGGUUAAGUCCCGCAACGAGCGCAACCCUUGUCUUUAGUUGCCAUCAUUAAGUUGGGCACUCUAGAGAGACUGCCAGGGAUAACCUGGAGGAAGGUGGGGAUGACGUCAAAUCAUCAUGCCCCUUAUGCUUAGGGCUACACACGGGCUACAAUGGGUAGUACAGAGGGUUGCCAAGCCGUAAGGUGGAGCUAAUCCCUUAAAGCUACUCUCAGUUCGGAUUGUAGGCUGAAACUCGCCUACAUGAAGCUGGAGUUACUAGUAAUCGCAGAUCAGAAUGCUGCGGUGAAUGCGUUCCCGGGUCUUGUACACACCGCCCGUCACACCACGGGAGUUGGAG
rnacentral:rRNA from 1 species